rnacentral:lncRNA from 1 species
CACAACACCUGAGUGGAGAUGAGCAGCCCAGGGGCGCCCUGCUGACCCGCACCCUUCCCAGACCACAGAGGGCGAAGAGGUCGCUGAUGCACCUGGGCCAUUCCCCUGCUUAGCAGCUGAUGGGAAGAAUCAGAAAGGCUCUGGAGGGCAGUGGCUGCAUCCUGCUUCGGCCAG